rnacentral:rRNA from 1 species
AGCGAACGCUGGCGGCAGGCCUAACACAUGCAAGUCGAACGGAUCCUUCGGGAUUAGUGGCGGACGGGUGAGUAACACGUGGGAACGUGCCCUUUGGUUCGGAACAACUCAGGGAAACUUGAGCUAAUACCGGAUGUGCCCUUCGGGGGAAAGAUUUAUCGCCAUUGGAGCGGCCCGCGUCUGAUUAGCUAGUCGGUGAGAUAAAGGCUCACCAAGGCGACGAUCAGUAGCUGGUCUGAGAGGAUGAUCAGCCACAUAGGGACUGAGACACGGCCCAAACUCCUACGGGAGGCAGCAGUGGGGAAUCUUGCGCAAUGGGCGAAAGCCUGACGCAGCCAUGCCGCGUGAAUGAUGAAGGUCUUAGGAUUGUAAAAUUCUUUCACCGGGGACGAUAAUGACGGUACCCGGAGAAGAAGCCCCGGCUAACUUCGUGCCAGCCGCCGCUGUAAUAC